CGGGGUGAGGAAUACAUCGGAAUUUGCCCAGUCGUGGGGGAUAACGUAGGGAAACUUACGCUAAUACCGCAUACGACCUAACGGUGAAAGCGGGGGAUCGCAAGACCUCGCGCGAGUGGAUGAGCCGAUGUCGGAUUAGCUAGUUGGCGGGGUAAAGGCCCACCAAGGCGACGAUCCGUAGCUGGUCUGAGAGGAUGAUCAGCCACACUGGGACUGAGACACGGCCCAG
rnacentral:rRNA from 1 species